GCUCUCCCUAGGAGGGGUACAUUUUCUUUCUCCAGAAAUAAGGAGUGUGUCAAAAAUAUUUGUGAUAUAUGUGACAGUAAAGAAGACAGAAGUACAAGUGUUGGAGGAGAUGCCUAAUCCCAGUGGGCUCCCCACCUGCCAAGUAGUACUGCCCAUGUUUAAUGUCAACCCUUCCCUCUCCAGAAACUAAGGAGAGAGGUACUAAUUUCCAGGGCGCUUUGCAACAGCAGUCACACUGACAAAGUUAGCGACUAUUAUUACUCUUGGAGCAAAGCCCUCAGGUGGCCGGGCUUGCAGGGCAAGCACAUUAGCAGCUUGGUCAUCUCGCCCGUCCUUCAUGCUUAUUAAUAUUUGCUGUCUGUCCAUUCAGCAGUCUGUCUGCCCUUCCUUUUCCUGAUAUAAUAGCCAUCUUAACAGAAUAAUACAUUAUGUCAUUUGGCUUUGUGUUUUCCCAGUGAUCAGUUAUCUUGAGCCUUCUGUAUAGCUCUUGGCCACUUACAAGCCAUUGGAGAUGUGUCUGCUUCAGUUCAUUGACCGUUUUCAAGUUGUGUUACUUGGUUUAUUGGGUUUUAUUCUAUUUAUGGUGGCUGAUAUUUUGUACAUUAACCACUUUGUAUACACACACACACACAUACACACACACGCAGUUUGCUUUGCAAAUAUUCUCUUUCAUUCUGUAGUUGGUUCUAAUAAAUGUUGGUUGUUUCUUUGGCC
rnacentral:lncRNA from 1 species